UGUUGCGUGUUGCGUGUUGCGUGUUGCGUGUUGCAUGUUGCAUGUUGCAUGUUGCAUGUUGCGUGUUGCAUGUUGCAUGUUGUAUAAAAAAUAAAGUUAAACGACAUUUUUUGUACACUUAGGAAGUUUUUUCUUUCUUUUUAGUUUGUUGUUGUGCGAUUGCUGUUUCAAUGAAGUCAUUCAAAAUUAUACUACGAUACCUUCGAUAGAUGACUGGUGG
rnacentral:lncRNA from 1 species